rnacentral:tRNA from 1 species
UUGACAUUAUGUCUGAUUAAAGUGAUAAAUUGUAAAUUUAUUUAAGGGAUUUAGUUUCCUAAUGU